rnacentral:rRNA from 1 species
GAUAGCGGAGAAAUUCCAAUCGAACUCGGAGAUAGCUGGUUCUCCUCGAAAUAGCUUUAGGGCUAGCCUUGUUUAGUAGCAUGUGGAGGUAAAGCACUGAAUAUGUGAGGGUUCUUACCAGAAUACCGAUCAUUAUCAAACUCUGAAUGCCAUGUGUGUAAGAACAGGAGUCAGACAGUGACAGCUAAGUGCCAUUGUCAAAAGGGAAAGAGCCCAGACCAACAGCUAAGGUCCCAAAAUUGUAGUUAAGUGGAAAAGGAUGUGGGAAUUCAUAGACAACCAGGAUGUUGGCUCAGAAGCAGCCAUUCAUUUAAAGAGUGCGUAAAAGCUCACUGGUCGAAGUAGGCCUGCGCCGAAAAUUACCGGGGCUAAACUACAUACCGAAGCUUUGGAUUUGGUACGUAAAGUAUUAAGUGGUAGAGGAGCGUUGUAUAAAGGUUGAAGCUAUACUGAAAAGAGUAGUGGACGAUAUACAAGAGAGAAUGCCGGAAUAAGUAGCGAGAGCACAGUGAGAAUCUGUGCCGCCGAAAACCUAAGGUUUCCUGGGGAAGGUUCGUCCGCCCAGGGUAAGUCGGGACCUAAGACGAGGCUAAAGCAGCGUAGUCGAUGGAAAGCAGGUAAAAGAUUCCUGCACUGCCGAAAUGCGAUAUACAAUAUAUCAUGACGCAUCAGAAGAGUCUAAGCGAGCAAAUGGAAAAGUUCGUACCGCAAGGUGGAGUGAAAAAUAGUAACGAAGUAGAUAAAUCAGGUGACAAGAAAAGUGAUAUAGGAGCAUAGAGGUACUCGUACCGUAAACCGACACAGGUAGGAAGAAAGAGAAUUUUCAGGCGAACGAGAGAAUCAUUGUUAAGGAACUCGGCAAAUUAACCCCGUAACUUAGGGAUAAGGGGAGCCAAUAGCGAUAUUGGUCGCAGAGAAAUGGCCCAAGCAACUGUUUAGCAAAAACACAGGUUUCUGCCAAAUCGAAAGAUGAAGUAUAGGAGCUGACGCCUGCCCAGUGCUGGAAGGUCAAGGGGAAGAGUAAACGUUUCGAUGUGAAGCUCUGAACUUAAGCCCCAGUGAACGGCGGCCGUAACUAUAACGGUCCUAAGGUAGCGAAAUUCCUUGUCAGGUAAGUUCUGACCCGCACGAAAGGCGUAAUGAUUUGGGCACUGUCUCGACAAUGAACUCGGCGAAAUUGUAGUACUAGUGAAGAUGCUAGUUACCUGUGAUAAGACAGAAAGACCCCAUGGAGCUUUACUGUAGCUUGAUAUUGAGACUAGGUAAGAGAUGUACAGAAUAGAUGGGAGACUAUGAGAUAAGGACGCCAGUUCUUAAGGAGUCACCUUUGGGAUACCAUCCUUCUUUUACUUGGAAUCUAACUAGUUGCCAUGAACUGGUAAUAGGACAGUGUCAGGUGGGCAGUUUGACUGGGGCGGUCGCCUCCUAAAGAGUAACGGAGGCGUUCAAAGGUCAGCUUAACACGGUCAGAAAUCGUGUGAUGACGUGCAAAGGCGUAAGCUGGCUUGACUGCAAGACUGACAGGUCGAGCAGACGCGAAAGCGGGACUUAGUGACCCGAUGGUUGUGAGUGGAAAUGCCAGAGCUCAACGGAUAAAAGUUACCCUGGGGAUAACAGGCUUAUCUCCCCCGAGAGUCCAUAUCGACGGGGAGGUUUGGCACCUCGAUGUCGGCUCAUCGCAUCCUGGAGCGGUAGUACGUUCCAAGGGUUGGGCUGUUCGCCCAUUAAAGCGGUACGCGAGCUGGGUUCAGAACGUCGUGAGACAGUUCGGUCCUUAUCUAUCACAGGCGUAAGAUAUUUGAGAGGAGUUGCCCCUAGUACGAGAGGACCGGGGUGAAGGAACCGAUGGUGCACCAGUUGUAUCACCAGAUGCAUAGCUGGGUAGCCAAGUUCCGAUGGGAUAAACGCUGAAAGCAUAUAAGUGUGAAGCCCACCUCAAGAUUAGAUAUCUCAUGGCGAAAGUCAGUAAGACCCCAAGAAGACUACUUGG